GUAACUAGUAGUCUAGUAACGCGCACAUUGGCCCCCGGUCUGUCUGUAUCGCUCGGGGCGCUUCCGUUCGACUAAUAAAAUGACAAGAGACAGAAAUCAGAAAGAAGAAGAAAUUUGACAAACUAUGGUGUGGGCUCUCUUUCCUAUAGACCCUGUCUCAGGUGAAGAUAAGUACUAUAUAUUUGCAAGGGGAACUUACAAAGUAGGUCGCAAAGGAGCUCAUAUUACUCGCAGGCUGGCUCAAGAGUGCACACAUGUGCUUGUUGAUCAACUCAGGCCAGUGAAAGAGGAUUUGCUUGAUGCCAUUGUAUCAAAAAACCUAUUGUUCUUAGUAGUUGGGAACUAACAUUAAACAUCUUGAAUUACUUCUCUGGGAUAUAACUGUGUUGUUAACUUAUAAUUGACAGCAUACUUAUCAAAUAAUUUCUUUCCAGAGUACGGUUUUG